UUGAAACACUGAUUCCCAUACAAUCACUGAAGUUAAGCAAUGUUGAGCCUGAUCAGUACCUAGAUGGGUGAAUGCUUAGGAAUAUUGGUGCUGUAAG